UUAAGUUGAUCAUGGUAUGCGGGUUGAUGAAUUAUAAAGUAAAUUGGACAUAAUAGGUCAGAGGACACUUGCCUUCACCAAACAGAUGCUCAGGGUCUUCAAUCUCGUAGAACACGAAGAACUGGAUCAUUUAGUCGCCGAAGCUUGACCGUCGAUUCCUCGAAGCCCGAGAACAGAUCACGUUCUAUUUGCGACAUGCGGCGAAUACGAACAGACACAAGCAAACAAACAUAUUCAUGCAUAAGAACAUUAUGCCAUACAAAUGAAAACAAUAUAAAAACGCGUAAUAUAAAAUAGAGAUCGCUUCUACGGUCACGCGAGGAAAAGAAAAACGCGACAGUCGGAGCUACGGUCGAGAAGUUAUCGCGUUUACGCUACACAAGUACUAGUUAAAACAUUUGAUUCGACGUUAUCAAAUAUAAAUUAUAUCUACUAUUUAGUUUCAAUUAAUCUGCAACACUAGCAACUGUCAAUUAAAUAAGUAAUUUAAUUAACACGAGAGAUACUAAGCGAGGCAAAAUUACGACGCUCGAAACAGCACGACAGCGUGAAUAACGACGCGCGGACAUGUGCAGGAUAGCAUGCAGACGACGCAUGAAACAGUGCGCGCGACAGCACACGAACGAUGUGUGACAACGCACACGACAACAUGCGACGGAUAGCGAUGAAGCACGCAGACAGCACGUGCCACGCGAGAAUCAUUAACGUAUACCGCAUUUAUACUAAAUAUGCAUUAAACUACAAGUAUUUAAGUUAGUCUUAAUAUGUCAGCAUUUAUAUUUGUAAAAGCACUAGUUAAAAACUAUAACUAGGUUUAACUAGCACACUAAAUUAAUUAACAUUGAUUAAACAAAUGCUUAAUUAAUUACUUAAAACAUAUGACAUGGUGAAUGAAAUUUUUAACGCAUAGAUGAUGUUAUAAGGAAGCUAACGCAACACGAAUGGAUCGAAAUAGAUUUAUAAUGCAAAAGCUAAUAUAUAUUUAAUAAUUUAUAUCUAAUGCGGCGUGGCCUGUUGCGAUUAGCUGGAGCCACACCACAUGAAGGGCCAUGAAUUUUGUGUCUAUAUAGGAUCUUUGGAGGAUAGUUUCUCUCUAAUCGCAUGCAGCCAGGGAAGAAAAUACGACAUGCAAGGUAGGGCCCAUGUACUGUUUUUCCUUUUGUUACUGCAUGCACAUCACACGCAUGGGAGAGAACAUGCACUGGGCCCCACGCGACAGUUCUUUCUUCAAGUUUUUCCUGCAACCGCAGAACACGCACGACACCUCUCCUUCUCCACUUCGCAUGCACACACGGUUACUGCAUGAGCAUUUUCUUCAUCCAAAAAGAAUCAGCCAUGGCGCCGGAGGAGAAGGCAAACAACCGACGUGGCUAGGCGGGCGGCAUGGCGGCUCGCUGAUGGGAGUGGAAGCAGCAUAGGGACGUGACUAUGUGCCUAGGAGACAGGAGUUCGGUCGGCUGGGUCUGCUGCUCGCUGGCAGUAGGCAGGUCGAGGGCUCGACCACGUCACUGAGCACAAGGAAAGGAACUAGCUGCGGCACCAGGACGCAGGCAGGGGUUUCGCCGGCUGCCAGGCUGCAACGCGCGCAUGGAGAGAGAAGGGGAGAGGAGAUCCAAGGGAGAAGACGACUGCGACUUAAUAGUUAACAUGAAAGAAACAUACCAGAGAGAACUCACCGGAGAACACCGGAGAAACAUGCCAGAGACUCGUUGGCGGCAUGGGGAGGCUCCAGUGCUGUGCGGUCGUCGACACGAGCGGGGCGGCGAAGGCGAUGUGAUGUGUGGGCUAUUUCGGUCCUAGGGCAUCGUGGGCACGCUCGAUCUGGAGGGGGCAGUUUUUAAG
rnacentral:lncRNA from 1 species